rnacentral:rRNA from 1 species
CCUACGGUUGGCAGCAGUGAGGAAUAGUGGUCAAUGGGCGAGAGCCUGAACCAGCCAAGUCGCGUUAAGGAUGAAGGAUCUAUGGUUUGUAAACUUCUUUUAUAGGGGAAUAAAGUGAGGAACGUGUGCCUUUUUGUAUGUACCAUAUGAAUAAGCAUCGGCUAACUCCGUGCCAGCAGCCGCGGUAAUACGGAGGAUGCGAGCGUUAUCCGGAUUGAUUGGGUUUAAAGGGUGCGUAGGUGGUUAAUUAAGUCAGCGGUGACAGUUUGGGGCUCAACCAUAAAAUUGCCGUUGAAACUGGUUGACUUUAGUCUAUUUGCGGUCGGCGGACUGCGUGGUGUAGCGGUGACCUGCCUCGCUAUCACGCAGAACUCCGCUUGCGAAGGCAGCUUACUAAACUAUACCUGCCACUGACGCACGACAGCGUGGGGAUCAAACAGGCUUCGAUACCCCUGUAGUC